AGUCCACACGGUAAACGAUGAAUACUCGCUGUUGGCGAUAUACGGUCAGCGGCCAAGCGAAAGCAUUAAGUAUUCCACCUGGGGAGUACGCCGGCAACGGUGAAACUCAAAGGAAUUGACGGGGGCCCGCACAAGCGGAGGAACAUGUGGUUUAAUUCGAUGAUACGCGAGGAACCUUACCCGGGCUUAAAUUGCACUGGACAGGCUCAGAGAUGGGCCCUUCUUCGGACCAGUGUGAAGGUGCUGCAUGGUUGUCGUCAGCUCGUGCCGUGAGGUGUCGGCUUAAGUGCCAUAACGAGCGCAACCCUUGCCAUUAGUUACUAACAGGUCAUGCUGAGGACUCUAGUGGGACUGCCAUCGUAAGAUGUGAGGAAGGUGGGGAUGACGUCAAAUCAGCACGGCCCUUACGUCCGGGGCUACACACGUGUUACAAUGGGAGGUACAGAAGGCUGCUACCCGGCGACGGGAUGCCAAUCCCCAAAACCUCUCUCAGUUCGGAUUGGAGUCUGCAACCCGACUCCAUGAAGCUGGAUUCGCUAGUAAUCGCGCAU
rnacentral:rRNA from 1 species